UGUAGACAGACUUCCUAGACCCAGAUCACAGAAUUAAAGACACUUCAAAAUCUAAGUCAGUCAAUCUGGUCACCAGGAUAGACAUCCUCUGCACAUCUGGAAUAGGAUGAACUUCACACAGACAUUCAAAGGACACAGUCCCAAAGAUCAGAGCUGCCAGACUUCAACACUGCCAAUGACACCAUGCAGAAAGUGGAGUCCCCCAGAUGGACCUGAUACUGACUGGCCAUCAAGAAAAGUUCAUCCGUCUUACUGGGAGUGGUGAGCACUGUAUGUGUAGCAUGUGCAGUAUGUUUUUGGUGACUGUUAAUA